rfam:Streptococcus pseudopneumoniae IS7493, complete genome.
CAAAAACCAGAAUUUAUAAUAUCGUUUAUAAUGGGCAUGAUUUGGGUUGUCGGUGUAUUCCUUCUAAUCUAUUGGAAUUUUAUAGCAAAUACUAAGAAGAGACAAAAAUAUAUAAAUAU